rnacentral:tRNA from 1 species
GGGGAGGUGGCCGAGUGGACGAUGGCGACUGUCUUGAAAACUGUAGAGCGAAAGCUCCGGGGGUUCGAAUCCCUCCCUCUCCGCCA